rnacentral:misc_RNA from 1 species
UUAACUAUUUACAUAGUACUCGGACAACAUAAUAAAGAGUUUUGGGGUCCUCUGGCAGGCACAGACCAGCCAAAGCCGGUGGUCACAAGACGGGCCUGCCAAAGCAACAAAGGUAUUGUAAACAAAGGGUGGGAGAUAUACCCCCUAAAGGGCAUGUUCUCUGUAAUGAUCCUUCCGCAGGUUCACCUACGGAAA